CUGGCUCCGCAUGGUCAGUGCCAUUUCGCCUUUAUCGUGGUGGAGUCCACCGUGGCUGUGUAAAAGGAUUUCUGCGUUCCAGUCAGGUUGGCUGCGGCCCCGCAUCCCCCCGCCUCAGAAACCUGGCGAUUCCGGCGUGUUUCUGGACCUGUUCAAACUCUGUCUCUUGACUGGAGGAGGAGGAGGAAAAGCUGAGCACAUUGCCAACUGGAGUUCUCCAAGAAUGGCAAGUUAAAACCAAAGUGUCAGCACUUCAACAACAUUUUUUUUUGGCUUAAAACAUCAAACGGCAUACAAAUGGU
rnacentral:lncRNA from 1 species